rnacentral:rRNA from 1 species
UCCACGAAGCUGGAUUCGCUAGUAAUCGCGCAUCAGCCACGGCGCGGUGAAUACGUUCCCGGGCCUUGUACACACCGCCCGUCAAGCCAUGGAAGCCGGGAGUGCCUGAAGUGCGUGACCGCAAGGAGCGUCCUAAGGCAAUACCGGUGACUGGGGCUAAGUCGUAACAAGGUAAC